UACGUAGGGUGCGAGCGUUGUCCGGAAUUAUUGGGCGUAAAGAGCUCGUAGGCGGCCUGUCGCGUCGGAUGUGAAAGUCCGGGGCUCAACCCCGGGAGGCGGAUGGAUACUGCAAGGCUCGAGUCCGGAAGAGGCAAGUGGAAUUCCCGGUGUAGCGGUGAAAUGCGCAGAUAUCGGGAGGAACACCAAUGGCGAAGGCAGCUUGCUGGGACGGUACUGACGCUGAGACGCGAAAGCGUGGGGAGCAAACAGG
rnacentral:rRNA from 1 species